GAAAAAAACACUCCCCUAACACGGUUUAUCAAAAAAACUCACACUAAAUCCCUAAAUCCCAAAACCACAUCUCUGCUGUCUUCUUCAAUCUCUUCGCCUUGAAUCCCUAAAUUACUCUCUCAAUCUCGUUCUCUCCAACAUCUUCAUCGAUGUCUGCAAAGAGAAAUCGUUGCCCUCCUGUUCUCUUCAACCUCUUCACCUCAAAUCCCUAAAAUUCUCUUUCAUUAUUGUUCCAACGGUAGAAAUCGUUGCCGUCAUGUUACACGUUCAGGUAGAAGGAUUGCUUUCAUCGGAAGGCUUUGCUGCAUUUAAGUGAAAGUUAGUACUGGAGGGUUCAUCAAGGGAUGCUAUAACAUAAUACUUUGCAGCUUGUUAUCACAUGGGGAGAUUAUAAUAACUCAUUAUUUAUCAAUAUUUCAGGUUUGCACUACUUAAACCUGAAAUUAUUGGUUAGGUGAAAACUCUUUUUUUUAAAAAGUAGAAAAUUUGUUAUUAUUCUCUUUUUUAUUUUAUUUUAUCAGUUUAGAAGAAGCCUAUGAGAUUCUACGAGUUAUUGAGAUUCAUGUGCUUAAGAGUAAACCUAACAUAAGCGCAACCCCUUGCUAAAUGGAUAACUCGGGGACCUUCAAUUUUAGUGAUUAUUUUCUCUUUUGAUAUUAAUGUCCAAUUAAAUGUUAAAAAUUUGGCAGAGCAUUGUGCAUUGGAUUCGACACUGAAUUGGUUCUAUGAUUUAUGUAGAAUAGAGAUGUUAAAUGCAAAAUGCAGAUUUGUAAAAUUUGCCAAAGUAGCUUAUGCAGUUUGGCAUGUCUGGAGUAAGUGAUAGUGAGUAUGGGUUAUACAGGUCGUUGCAAAUGUAAGAGGUUGCAGGUAUUUGUAUUUUGCUUCAAAAUGGAUUAUGCAGGUUUGAUAUGGGUGGAUGCAUUCAUAUUUGAUUUUACCACUGACUCUCAUUCACUUUGAUAAUACUAUAAGGAACUUUUUCGAGCAUGUGAGAAUUUAGUGAAAGAAUUAUCGAGACAUGACUCUGGGGGGAAACAGUUGAGUUUAUACAAAAAGUUUGUCCAAUAUGAGCUAAGUUUACGUGACACAAUGCAAAGAAGAGGUGGAAGACUUAGAAUUACCAAACUGAGUACGACAUUCUUUUGAUUGUAGUCAUUUACCUCGGGAUGAUGAAGCAACUUUCUUGUGAUGGACCAUAUAGAUAAUUGAUUAAAUUUUCAUGGAACUCAAGAAACCUUUUUGUAUAAUUGUUAUAUGUUUUAUUUAAAUGAAUGUGAAACAUAUUUGUUUCUGGAUUAGUUCAUAUUUUAAUAAUAGUAUUUAUAUAUUUAUGCAUUUUAA